GAUGAACGCUGGCGGCGUGCUUAACACAUGCAAGUCGAACGAAGCUGCCUAAAGGAAGUUUUCGGAUGGAAUUUAGGUAGACUUAGUGGCGGAUGGGUGAGUAACGCGUGGAUAACCUGCCUUAUACAGGGGGAUAACGGAGAGAAAUUUCCGCUAAUACCGCAUAAGACCACAGCACCGCAUGGUGCAGGGGUAAAAUAUUUAUAGGUAUAAGAUGGAUCCGCGUCCGAUUAGCUAGUUGGUGAGGUAAAGGCCCACCAAGGCGACGAUCGGUAGCCGGCCUGAGAGGGUGAACGGCCACAUUGGGACUGAGACACGGCCCAAACUCCUACGGGAGGCAGCAGUGGGGAAUAUUGGACAAUGGGGGAAACCCUGAUCCAGCGACGCCGCGUGAGUGAAGAAGUAUUUCGGUAUGUAAAGCUCUAUCAGCAGGGAAGAAAAUGACGGUACCUGACUAAGAAGCCCCGGCUAACUACGUGCCAGCAGCCGCGGUAAUACGUAGGGGGCAAGCGUUAUCCGGAUUUUACUGGGUGUAAAGGGAGCGCAGACGGCAAUGCAAGUCUGAAAGUGAAAGGCGUGGGGCUCAACCCAUGAACUGUUUUGGAAACUGUAUAGCUUGGAGUGUCGGAGGGGGUAAGCCGGAUUUCCAGUGUUCCGGUGAUAUGCGUAGAUAUUAGGAGGAACACCGGAGGAGAAGGCGGCUUACUGGACGACAACUGUCGUUGAGGCUCGAAGGCAUGGGUAGUAAUAUGAUAAAUACCCCAGUGAUCCAGGGGCGAAUUCACAAUGG
rnacentral:rRNA from 1 species